rnacentral:lncRNA from 1 species
CUAGAGGAUGUAAAGCCGUCAUUGGGAUCCUCACCUAACAGUUAUUGGGUCCAAUCCCAUCUCUAUUCCAAGACAUCAAAUGUCAAUAGAGUAGUUGUACCUUCUCGAUGUAAUCGAACCACUGUAAUCAGUCGAGAAUGAUCAAUAUCAGGAAGGUAUCCGUAUCUCUACAAUGAUGGAAGACCUCUAAACUUAAUAUUUAAUGAGAAAAUUUAGGUUUAGGUCUCUUCUAAAUUAGCAGAUCUGACAUCCGACUGAUUAAAUUUAGGUUAACACAUCAACAUAUCUAACCAGUCU